CAUUUAGAGGAAGUAAAAGUCGUAACAAGGUUUCCGUAGGUGAACCUGCGGAAGGAUCAUUAGUGAAAAAAUAGCGUACCUGUUUAACCAGGGCGUGACCUCUCACUUUUUCAAACUCUGUGCACUUCAAAUUUGCUGGCUAUAGGAAAGGGUCGAUUAACUUCGCUCGGAACUUGCGCCGGCUCAUCUUAUUAAACAUUUAAAGUUAAUGUAUGUCAAAGAAAUUUAAUAACAAAAAAAACUUUCAACAACGGAUCUCUUGGCUCUCGCAUCGAUGAAGAACGCAGCGAAAUGUGAUAAGUAAUGUGAAUUGCAGAAUUCAGUGAAUCAUCGAAUCUUUGAACGCAUCUUGCGCUCGCUGGUAUUCCGGCGAGCAUGUCUGUUUGAGUGUCGUGAACUCUUCAACCCCUAAUUUUUCUUAAGUGAGAUUUUGGUGCGGCUUGGUUUCUGAACGCCUGCUGGACUUGUUAAAAGUCGAGCUCGUUCGUAAUGCAUUAGCAUCCUAAUCUUCGAGAUCAGAUUGACUCGGCGUAAUAGACUAUUCGCUGAGGACAUGGCACCCCGUCAAAAAGGGUGUUGUGGCUGGACUUGGAAAGUUGGAAGCUUACAAACCCCGACAAUUUAGUCAAAUCAUCUAAGAUUAGACCUCAGAUCAGGCAGGAUUACCCGCUGAACUUAAGCAUAUCAAUAAGCG
rnacentral:rRNA from 1 species